UGCCCUAUGGUUAUAGUUCUAAAUGGCUGCAGUAUUUUGACUGUGCAAAGGUAGCAUAGUAAUUAGUUUCUUAAUUAGGAACUGGAAUGAAUGGAUGUAUGAGAUAUAUUCUUUAUUAGUUUUAAUAUUAAAAUUUUAAUUUUAAGUUAAAAUGCUUAAGAUAAUUCUUGGGACGAUAAGACCCUAUAGAACUUUACAUAGAAAUUUUAUAAUUAAAUUUUAUUAGUAUUAUUUCAUUAUUUUUAAUAUGUUUUGCUGGGGUGGUAGGUAAAUUUUAACUUUAUUGAUUUAUAUCACUUGAUAUGUGUUUUUUUAGAUCUUAUUGGACUACAAGAAUCAGUUACCUUAGGGAUAACAGCGUAAUGUUAAUGGGGAGUUCAUAUCUAUAUUAAUUUUUGCGACCUCGAUGUUGAAUUAAGAAAAUAUUAAGAAGCAGUAUUCUUAAAUUUAAGUCUGUUCGACUUUUAAAUUCUUACUUGAUCUGAGUUCAGACCGGA
rnacentral:rRNA from 1 species